GAUGAACGCUGGCGGCGUGCUUAACACAUGCAAGUCGAGCGAGAAGUUUUGAAAAGAUUCUUCGGAUGAAAUUUAAAAUGGAAGGCGGCGGACGGGUGAGUAACGCGUAGGCAACCUGCCCCAUACAAAGGGAUAGCAUUUGGAAACGAAUAUUAAUACCUUAUGAAACUUAACUAGUGCAUGCUAGGUAGGUCAAAGAUUUAUCGGUAUGGGAUGGGCCUGCGUCUGAUUAGCUAGUUGGUGAGGUAACGGCUCACCAAGGCGACGAUCAGUAGCCGACCUGAGAGGGUGAACAGCCACAUUGGAACUGAGACACGGUCCAAACUCCUACGGGAGGCAGCAGUGGGGAAUAUUGCACAAUGGGGGAAACCCUGAUGCAGCAACGCCGCGUGAACGAUGAAGGCCUUUGGGUCGUAAAGUUCUGUUCUAGGUGAUGAAAACUGACAGUAACCUAGGAGAAAGCCCCGGCUAACUCCGUG
rnacentral:rRNA from 1 species